rnacentral:rRNA from 1 species
AUAUCAAUAAGCGGAGGAAAAGAAACCAACAGGGAUUGCCUUAGUAACGGCGAGUGAAGCGGCAAGAGCUCAAAUUUGAAAUCUGGCUUAGGCCCGAGUUGUAAUUUGUAGAGGAAUGUUCGGCAAUGCCUCCGGUCUAAGUCUUCUGGAACGAAGCGUCUUAGAGGGUGAGAACCCCGUACUCGACUGAUUGGCAAAGCUAUGUGAACGUCCUUCAAAGAGUCGAGUUGUUUGGGAAUGCAGCUCAAAAUUGGUGGUAAAUUCCAUCUAAAGCUAAAUAUUGGCCAGAGACCGAUAGCGCACAAGUA